UACGAAGGGGGCUAGCGUUGCUCGGAAUCACUGGGCGUAAAGCGCACGUAGGCGGAUCUUUAAGUCAGGGGUGAAAUCCCAAGGCUCAACCUUGGAACUGCCUUUGAUACUGGGGAUCUCGAGUCCGGAAGAGGUUGGUGGAACUCCGAGUGUAGAGGUGAAAUUCGUAGAUAUUCGGAAGAACACCAGUGGCGAAGGCGGCCAACUGGUCCGGUACUGACGCUGAGGUGCGAAAGCGUGGGGAGCAAACAGG
rnacentral:rRNA from 1 species